AGAGUUUGAUCAUGGCUCAGGAUGAACGCUAGCUACAGGCUUAACACAUGCAAGUCGAGGGGAAACGACAUCGAAAGCUUGCUUUUGAUGGGCGUCGACCGGCGCACGGGUGAGUAACGCGUAUCCAACCUGCCCACCACUUGGGGAUAACCUUGCGAAAGUAAGACUAAUACCCAAUGACGUCUCAAGAAGACAUCUGAAAGAGAUUAAAGAUUUAUCGGUGAUGGAUGGGGAUGCGUCUGAUUAGCUUGUUGGCGGGGUAACGGCCACCAAGGCUACGAUCAGUAGGGGUUCUGGAGAGGAAGGUCCCCCANACUUGGAACUGAGACACGGUCCAAACGUCCUACGGGAGGCA
rnacentral:rRNA from 1 species